GAUGAACGCUGGCGGCGUGCCUAAUACAUGCAAGUCGAGCGAACAGACGAGGAGCUUGCUCCUCUGACGUUAGCGGCGGACGGGUGAGUAACACGUGGAUAACCUUCCUAUAAGACUGGGAUAACUUCGGGAAACCGGAGCUAAUACCGGAUAAUAUAUUGAACCGCAUGGUUCAAUAGUGAAAGACGGUUUUGCUGUCACUUAUAGAUGGAUCCGCGCCGCAUUAGCUAGUUGGUAAGGUAACGGCUUACCAAAGCAACGAUGCGUAGCCGACCUGAGAGGGUGAUCGGCCACACUGGAACUGAGACACGGUCCAGACUCCUACGGGAGGCAGCAGUAGGGAAUCUUCCGCAAUGGGCGAAAGCCUGACGGAGCAACGCCGCGUGAGUGAUGAAGGUCUUCGGAUCGUAAAACUCUGUUAUUAGGGAAGAACAAAUGUGUAAGUAACUAUGCACGUCUUGACGGUACCUAAUCAGAAAGCCACGGCUAACUACGUG
rnacentral:rRNA from 1 species